rnacentral:rRNA from 1 species
GGACCCGCACAAGCGGUGGAUGAUGUGGAUUAAUUCGAUGCAACGCGAAAAAACCUUACCUACCCUUGACAUGUCAGGAAUUUUGCAGAGAUGCGAAAGUGCUCGAAAGAGAACCUGAACACAGGUGCUGCAUGGCUGUCGUCAGCUCGUGUCGUGAGAUGUUGGGUUAAGUCCCGCAACGAGCGCAACCCUUGUCAUUAGUUGCUACGCAAGGGCACUCUAAUGAGACUGCCGGUGACAAACCGGAGGAAGGUGGGGGACGACGGUCAAGUCCUCAUGGCCUUAUGGGUAGGGCUUCACACGUCAUACAAUGGUUGGUACAGAGGGUUGCAAACCCGCGAGGGG